UUAACUAUUAUAUAGUACUCAGACGUCACUAAAACAAAAGAGUUUGGGUCCUCUGGCGGGCACGGUCAGCCGGAGCCAACGCCGUGAGGCGGCCCGCCAAAGCAACAAAGAAGGUAAACACGGGUUUAAGAUUUCAUCCUUAAGGUAGGCAUUACGGCCACACCUCCGCGAACCUUAUAGCCUCGUUAAAGAGACAAAAAGAUCCAGCCGGCCUCCCACCUUGCGGAGGGCUACCCGAACUGCUAACGCGUGGAAUCUGGUCCUCGCCCGAAGACGGUGGGACAUCUUAUUAAUGAUCCUUCCGCAGGUUCACCUACGGAAA
rnacentral:misc_RNA from 1 species